rnacentral:rRNA from 1 species
UACGAAGGGGGCUAGCGUUGCUCGGAAUCACUGGGCGUAAAGGGUGCGUAGGCGGGUUUUUAAGUCAGAGGUGAAAUCCUGGAGCUCAACUCCAGAACUGCCUUUGAUACUGGGAAUCUUGAGUAUGGAAGAGGUGAGUGGAACUGCGAGUGUAGAGGUGAAAUUCGUAGAUAUUCGCAAGAACACCAGUGGCGAAGGCGGCUCACUGGUCCAUAACUGACGCUGAGGCACGAAAGCGUGGGGAGCAAACAGGG